rnacentral:hammerhead_ribozyme from 1 species
AUCCAGCUGACGAGUCCCAAAUAGGAUGAAACUGUCAUCAAACUGGAU